rnacentral:rRNA from 1 species
GGCAUCUCGGAGGAUAUGUAGGUGACCUGCGGAGAUAUAUCAAAAAGGGGGAGAAUGCGGGGGGGAACGCGGGGAGCACCUCUAAAAGCGGGGGGGAGCCGGGGGGCCGCCGGAGGACCAGCGGCCGCACUCGGAACCUCUUCGGAUACUGAGCAGUCUGAGAAAAACCAUGAAUCGUUAAAACUUUCAACAACGGAUCUCUUGGUUCUGGCAUCGAUGAAGAACGCAGCGAACUGCGAUAAGUAAUGUGAAUUGCAGAAUUCAGUGAACCAUCGAAUCUUUGAACGCACAUUGCGCCCGCCAGCAUUCUGGCGGGCAUGCCUGUCCGAGCGUCAUUUCCACCCUCACGCGCCCCUUUAGUGCGUGGUGUUGGGGCAUACUGCGGCUGCCGCGAGGCGCCGCAGGCCCUGAAACCCAGUGGCGGGCCGGCAGAAGGCUCCGAGCGCAGUAAGCAUCACGCCCUCGCUCCGGACGCCCCUGCUGGCAGCUCGCCCUGCGGCGGAAACGCUUGCAGCAACCAUCUUAAAGGUUGACCUCGGAUCAGGUAGGAUUACCCGCUGAACUUAAGCAUAUCAAUAAGCCGGAGGAA